rnacentral:rRNA from 1 species
CCUACGGGAGGCAGCAGUAGGGAAUAUUGCUCAAUGGGGGAAACCCUGAAGCAGCAACGCCGCGUGGGGGAUGAAGGUAUUCGGUUUGUAAACCCCUUUUGGUAGGGAAGAUAAUGACGGUACCUGACGAAGAAGCACCGGCUAACUACGUGCCAGCAGCCGCGGUAAUACGGAGGGGGCAAGCGUUAUCCGGAAUCACUGGGCGUAAAGAGAGCGUAGGCGGCAUUGCAAGUCAGAUGUGAAAGCCUGGGGCUUAACCAUCGAACUGCAGUUGAAACUGGUAUUCUAGAGUAGGGGAGAGGUAGGUGGAAUUCGUGGUGUAGCGGCGAAAUGCGUAGAGAUCAAGAGGAACACUCAUUGCGAAGGCGACCUGCUGGAACAUAACUGACGCUGAGGCGCGAAAGCGUGGGGAGCAAACAGGAUUAGAUACCCUAGUAGUC